UGUUUUGUGGCUUAGUUGGCUAAAGCACCCGUCUAUCGAUGCGGAGUCGCGGGUUCGAAACCCACCAGAACCA
rnacentral:tRNA from 1 species